AACCAUUAAAAUUGAGUCCUAGUAUAUGAAGAUUUAAUUAUUAAAUUUAAUUGCAUUCUUUUGUAUUGUACUUAGUACAGUACAAAAAAAAAGUGGCUAUGUCUAUACUUUUAUUUAUUUCAAAUGGCAGAGGUGAAUUGACAUGUUGAAAAGCAAAAACACAGGAACAAAACAAGAAAGUAAAAAGUCAUUUCCUCAGGAGCACUCUUGCUUCCCAAUAUCGCUCGGUAGACGACGACCCGCGGAAGGCCCUGCAGCGCAGGUUGUGGCUGCCAUCAAAAACAGCUUGGCUCAUGCACAGAGAACAAUAGGGAUCAGGUGCGCGGCUAGGCAGUCAUGUCCGGUAUAUAGUCGAAACUAAGCCAUCGCUUCGCGAAGCGGCCAGUCUGGAAUGGUGUUCUGUCGAAGAUCUCCCCACACUUUGAUUUUUACCCUUUCUGAUAAUUGAUGAUGGGAAUUCCCAUUGAUUUUUGAUCUAAUAAUCCUUUUUAAAGUUGAGAAGGGGACUGGGCUACUAAGAGCCUGGAGAAUUCUUAUGCCUCUCUUUGCCAGAACAUCAGUCCUCUCAUUUCCUGCAAUAUCGCAGUGCCCGGGAAUCCAUUGUAGGGCUACAGUUUUGCCAAAAUGGUGGAGUUUACGUAUCGCAACCUGACAUUUCAGAACGUCGCAAUUAGAUGGGCAAUGCAUAGAUAUGUCUAUACUUUUACACACAGUGUAUUGAUGACCCUACCGCCACCAAAGAUGUUACGUAAAAACUUUGGAGAUAUUUAAUUUGAUUUCGCUUAACUUUAAUACGAUGAGAUGCAAAGACAGAAAUAAGUAGCAUGAAGCGUUUCAAAUCAUCAAUCACUACUCCUUGUUUUAUCAAUCAUCAUCUAUCAUAAUCUUUGUUUUCCAAGCACUCAUCAAACGGCUUAAUCGCAUUCCUAAUUUUUAUAUUAGAUUUGAUCGAACUUAACUAAUAAAUUCACUUUCUUUGUUGCACUGAGACUUGAUAUUGAACUUAUAGAAUAAAAUAUUAACUUCGCUAAUUUAUAUAAUCAAUCUCAACUUAUGAUUGAUAUUUAAAUUGUAUAGCUUGAUGUCUGUGUUUGGCUCUAGUAUGAUUUUCAAGCUCAACUUCGAAUGAAUGAUUGAGAUUGAGAGAUUUCAUCAUUUAAAUACCUAUCCUAUGAAGAGUAAAUUAGAUUAGAAAACACUAUUGCCUCAGAAAAAAAAUAUGUAAGGGACACCAUUGUCCCAUCUGCAUCAAGAUUUAAAGGAGAGGAAAAAAGCAAAAACAGUUUUAAAAUCUGACGAAUCACUUCAGUAGAGGGCUCCACUGAAAACCUCAAAACCUGUUUGAUUGCCGAAAGAAGCAGAAAUUAUUUGAAAAGUAUAGAAACAUCACCACUUUUCAUAUGGUCAUGAAACUGGUUUUGAUAUCUAUGAUCUCGCCGUCUGACAGAUUUCGACAUCGUUUUUGUUUCUUCGCAUGCACAAUAACUUAUGACCCUUAAUGUGCACAAUUUUUUUUUUUAAUUUUUUUUUUGCGAAGGCGAGGACAAAAAAUAGUAAAUUAACUAUUCUUAACAAAUUAUUUUAGAAAUUACCGAUGAAUUUAACUCAUAUUGAAAAUUUUUUAGAAAUAUGGUACUUACGUAAAUGCAAUCAGACAGUGUUAAAAAGAUUCCUGUCAAAAUGUUAUUAAAAUAUAGUUUCUUUCUAUUUUACUUUAAAUACAGUUUGAAAGUGUUAAGCACAAAUAAUGCAACUGAUGACCCUACAAUGCUUCUUCGAUAACAAAAUGAAACUGAAAACACAAAAUGAAUAAUAGAAUGAUAAUUUAAAUGAGAGAGAGAAAAAAAUCAAGCUGAUAGGCAUUCUCAUAUUGAUAUUAUAUCGCAUAGCAGAAAUGUAAAUUAUUUCUGAAUAAAUGCAAAAUCAUAAAUUGAAUCUUCUUUUAGAAAAAUGCGAUACUGCAAAAUUUAAUCCUACGUUAUUUUCUAUCAUGGAUAUGCCAUACAAGAGCUAUUCAAUAUUUGACUAAUCUUUCUAUUUUGUAAAAGCAAAAGUCUGUUAGUUAAUAACUUGAGAGCCGAUUUGGAUCAUGUUUUUGUCAGCAGUUUGUAAAUUUUCAUGGGCUGGUUUUAUUUUAUAACUAUCGUUGGACAGCCAACCCAAUUAUUGAGUUUAUUACUACUAGUGUUCAACUCUGCAGCCUUGUAAUUUUGAACCCAAUCCAGGAAACUCCUGGAUUGAGUAUUGGGAGGAAUUUUGCCUUCGUGGUGGACUUUUUGAUGGAACGCUGUUCGUAUUUAAAAUUACCAUCUUUUCAUGUAAUUACCGUCUUGCGAAUCAAGAUGGAUUUAUGUGAAAUAUCUGCAGUUUUAAAUUUACUUGAGAAGUAAAUAAAGAUUCAACAAUAUUUAAAAAAAAUCAUGAACACUAAAAAUGUUCCGGCUCUAAAGCCGUUACUUACAGUCACAUUUAUAAAAAAAUCUGAAUUCCUUAGAAAUUUUUCUAAUGAUUGUUCUAUUCUAAUAUAUCGCUUAACGUAAUAAAAACCUCCUUUUUUUAAAAUUAAUGAAAUCGUUCGAUGUAUUAUUUUUUAUUAUUAUUUAGUUUUAGAUUACAAAAUUUUCAAACUCAUCAUACCUGUUAAUGAUGUUUAAAAGCGAAACGAUUACAUAAGAAUUUGAUACAAUAACGUAAUUUUACGAUGGAAUGCAAUUUUGUACCCGAUCAAUAAAAACCCUUUCCGCCAUUAAUCAAUCAAGGAUGGGGCCAGAUUUUGCCCGACAAGGGGUCAAGUCUCCCUAGACAGGGGGGCUCAAACAAGUUAAUUCAAAAUAUUUAAAUUAAAACGAAUUUUAUACUUAACAUUUUUUUCUCACAUCAUUUUUUCAAGUGUGUUUCUAAAAAUCUGAAAUCACUAAUAUUGAUACCAUAAUGUGCAGAUUCAUUUUAAUGUAAAUUUAAAUCACAUUUUUUUUCCUGUUAUCGAUGUAUUUUGUACUGUAAGGUGCAAUUUACCACACAUUGUAAGUUUAAAAAUUACUUCUGUAAUAAAUAAAAUAGUUGUAGCUGUCAAAAAAUUUCUACGCUUCUUACUCUCAUAACGCAAAAAUUAUUCGAUAAUUAAAAUUUGAAAUUUCAAACACAUUUGACAUAACAGCAAAAUGUUAUUUUUAUAUGCAUCGAU